AACCACUUCCUCUCCUGGCCUCAAUUGUUUCUUCCGGUCACGCUUUGCUACAGCCUCAUGCAAAACUGAGGCUGAAGCUAUUUCAGCGACUCCCAGCCCUGGAAGAUGUUAAAAAUAGCGACCGGAACAGACAGUUUCCCGUCUGAGGGCUGGGAGAGAGCCUGCUGGCUCACACGCACUUUCCACUUGCUGACCGCGGGGAAAGGGGAAAAGGAAAUUGCUGACCACUUUGACGAAACGCUUCCCUUGACGAUUGCCCUUGGAAGAGACGGUGCUCUGGCCGCAGAGCUGACCCGGACCACAGAGCUGACCUGGGCUGCAUGCCUGAACUGGCUUGCAUACCGGACUUGGACUGCAUGCUUGACUUGGGGCACAUGCCGGACCCGGACUGCAUGCUUGACCUGGAGCACGUGCCUGACCCAGCUACACGCUUGACCCGGGCUGCAUGUCAACCCCCAUGCCUCAUGCCUGACCCAGGCUGCGUGCCUGACCUGGCCUCAUGCUGGUCCCCGGACAGCCUCAUGCUUGACCCAGACCUUGGGCCGACCCCUUGACUGCAUAGCUGACCCGGCCAGCAUGCCUUACCUCCAGACCUCGUGCCUGACCCUGGCCUCAGAGCUGGCUUAGGCUGCAGUCUGACCUGGGCCACAUGCCUGACCACCAGGCUGCAUGUCUGACCUGGGCUCGGAUGCUCUGGGGAGUUUGCCGUGUGUCAGUCGUGAGAGACAGACAUAUUCCUGGUGGUGAACAAAUAGAUCCUGAGGUGCUCAGCUUCAAUACUGAUGGAAACCAUGGAAGGGGUGCCUCUUCAGUGGUCCACGCAACAGAUAAGAGAGCUGAGCCAUGGGUCAUGGCUGCAGCUAGCUCUGGCACAAGUCUCUCAGUUCUGCAUGGACUCCAUGUAGCUGUCACUCUGCUGGUUAAGCCAGCUACUAAGCUCACUUCCAAAGGGAACGAGUUUGCAUCUUAAUUAAGAAAUGAAAAAAGGAUUUGUGACCCUUUCUUAUCUACCACAAUGUUGUUGUUGCAGCACAUUUGGUCAAAAAACAGCAUGAUAUCAGGUUAUUCAGAAAUAUGGUGGCUAUCUUUCAAAUAUCUGAAGCUCUUCUCAAGUUCUGUUUUAUUUACUUAUCUAAGAAAUGGAAAUACGUCACUCGCUGGCUAACUUCUGAGAUGCCAGCAACAGUUGAGGUAUGGCCCUAACCUGGGGCCAAAGUCAGGAGCUAAAAACACAUUCCAGGCCUCCAAUGUGGACAGAGGAACUAAAAACAUAUUCCAGGUUUCCAAUGUGGUCAGAGGAACUAAGAGCCAUUCCAGGUCUCCCCUGAGGAUGGCAGGAACCCAGGUACUUGAGCCAUUGCUGCUGCCUCCUGGGAUCUGCACUGGCCAGAGCCGGAGCCCUAGAUGUGGUCCCUGCCAGCCAGUGGGAGACCAGGAUGCAGUCCCCAGCUCCUGGUGUGGGCCUGGGCCAGGACCUGUCGUGGCAGCCAGCAGAGGGAAGACCUCUCUCUUUUUAGCUCUACCCAUCUCUUCCUCUCUGUCAUGCUGCCUUUCAAAUAAACAGAUAUAUAAAUCUUUUAAUAUUAAGUAUCAAGUUAAUACAGUCGUUAAGGUCUGCAUGCUGCUGAAUGUUGUCUGGUUGUUUCAUCAGUUACUCUAGAUAAUUUAAUAAUAUAUACUUAUAUAUAACAUAAGACCUGAGGCCAUAUGCAUAUAUAUAAUUAUAUAUAACAAUAU